rnacentral:rRNA from 1 species
AUUGAACGCUGGCGGCAUGCCUUACACAUGCAAGUCGAACGGUAACGGGCCUUCGGGUGCCGACGAGUGGCGAACGGGUGAGUAAUACAUCGGAACGUGCCCGGUCGUGGGGGAUAACGAGGCGAAAGCUUUGCUAAUACCGCAUACGGUCUACGGAUGAAAGCAGGGGACCGCAAGGCCUUGCGCGGACGGAGCGGCCGAUGGCAGAUUAGGUAGUUGGUGGGAUAAAAGCUUACCAAGCCGACGAUCUGUAGCUGGUCUGAGAGGAUGAUCAGCCACACUGGGACUGAGACACGGCCCAGACUCCUACGGGAGGCAGCAGUGGGGAAUUUUGGACAAUGGGCGCAAGCCUGAUCCAGCCAUGCCGCGUGCAGGAUGAAGGCCUUCGGGUUGUAAACUGCUUUUGUACGGAACGAAAAGCCUUCUUUUAAUACAGGAGGGUCAUGACGGUACCGUAAGAAUAAGCACCGGCUAACUACGUG